rnacentral:rRNA from 1 species
AUUGAACGCUGGCGGCAUGCUUUACACAUGCAAGUCGGACGAGUGGCGAACGGGUGAGUAACGCAUCGGAACGUACCGAGUAAUGGGGGAUAACUGUCCGAAAGGACAGCUAAUACCGCAUAUUAUUCGAGCGGCCGAUGUCUGAUUAGCUGGUUGGCGGGGUAAAGGCCCACCAAGGCGACGAUCAGUAGCGGGUCUGAGAGGAUGAUCCGCCACACUGGGACUGAGACACGGCCCAGACUCCUACGGGAGGCAGCAGUGGGGAAUAUUGCACAAUGGGCGCAAGCCUGAUGCAGCCAUGCCGCGUGUAUGAAGAAGGCCUUCGGGUUGUAAAGUACUUUCAGCGGGGAGGCGUUACCCGCAGAAGAAGCACCGGCUAACUCCGUGCCAGCAGCCGCGGUAAUAC